rnacentral:rRNA from 1 species
CUAAUUCUCGAUGGUCUCUGGUAACGAAAGUUACCCGAGUAAAGAAUUUCGGGCGGGGCAGAUCCUGCGUCCUAUCAGCUUGUUGGUGAGGUAACGGCUUACCAAGGCUAUGACGGGUAGGGGGUGUGAGAGCACGACCCCCAACACUGGGACUGCGACACUGCCCAGACACCUACGGGUGGCUGCAGUCGAGAAUCUUCGUCAAUGGGCGAAAGCCUGAACGAGCGACGCUGCGUGGAGGAAGAAGGCCUUCGGGUUGUAAACUCCUGUCGUGUGGGAAGAACUUUGACGGUACCACACAAGAAAGGGGCGCCUAACUCUGUGCCAGCAGGCGCGGUAAUACAGAGGCCCCGAGCGUUACCCGGAUUCAUUGGGCGUAAAGCGUCCGCGGGCGGCUUGUUGCGUCGAUUGUGAAAUCCUUGGGCUCAACCCAAGAACGCCAAUCGAUACGAGCAAGCUAGAGGCAGGGAGAGGUCAGUGGAACUCGUGGUGAAGCAGUGAAAUGCGUUGAUAUCACGGGGAACACCAAUUGCGAAGGCAGCUGACUGGUCCUGUCCUGACGCUCAUGGACGACAGCGUGGGGAGCGAAUGGGAUUAGAUACCCCAGUAGUCCACGCCGUAAACAUUGCCAACUAGGCAUUGGGAGUAUCGACCCUCUCAGUGUCGAAGCUAACGCG